AACGUAGGAGGCGAGCGUUAUCCGGAUUUACUGGGUGUAAAGCGCGUGCAGGCGGCGGGCUAAGUUGGAUGUGAAAGCUCCUGGCUCAACUGGGAGAGGUCGUUCAAAACUGGCUGGCUAGAGCGUGGUAAGGGAAGGUGGAAUUCCGGGAGUAGUGGUGAAAUGCGUAGAUAUCCGGAGGAACACCAGUGGCGAAGGCGGCCUUCUGGACCACGGCUGACGCUCAGACGCGAAAGCUAGGGUAGCAAACGGG
rnacentral:rRNA from 1 species